UGCAUGAAGUUGGAAUUGCUAGUAAUCGCGAAUCAGAAUGUCGCGGUGAAUACGUUCCCGGGCCUUGUACACACCGCCCGUCACACCAUGAGAGUCGAUAACACCCGAAGCCUGUGAGCUAACCUUUUAGGAGGCAGCAGUCGAAGGUGGGGUUGAUGAUUGGGGUGAAGUCGUAACAAGGUACC
rnacentral:rRNA from 1 species